AGGCCGAGCUGGCCGACACCAGCUGACGCUCUCCGCGGAAAUGAGGAAACCGAUGACUGCUGGCGUUAUCGCUUGAGUUAGUAGCGAGGCAAACGUCUACGUUACUCAGCGCAGAGAUACCCAGAGUAUCGUAAAAGUGGUUUAUAGCACAUCGCGUCUGCUGGUCUCCCUGAAGGGAGACGCAAAGGUCUGACGACUGACAGGGUCACAGGGGGCCGAGGUGCCCAGAAGAAACUGGGAGGUGUGCUGUUUCUCCUGCGUUUCUAUCACUUGCCUGUUUUUUCCUGCAGCACAGUGAGGAGAUACUAGCUCAGGUCUUGCAAGCGGUAUAACUCUGUCAGAGUCACUCUACACCCGUGCUAAUUAACUGAGCCUUUCAGCAGAGCUAAUUAACUGAAGCAGAAUACUUCAAUGGCCCAGCAAUCCUAUGCAUCAAGUUUUGGACAACCAAGAGGACACCGAUGAGAAUAAGAGAUUUAGAAAGCAUGCUAAUGAGGAGAAUUUAAAGAUCUGGACAGACACAAGAUAACUGGGCACAAGAUAACUGUCUUCAGUUCUAUGCAAGAAACCAACAGUGAACUUUCCAAGAAAAACCUAAAUGACUUAAGGCAUGCAUCGAGGAAGUCAUAUUAUGCACUGAUUCAUGAAAUAUGCAUCAAGUAUUGGUUAAACAGAAUGGAAGAGAACAUGAAAAAACUACAUGGAGUGAGCCAAGGGAUGGAAGCAUCCUGCUGCCGUUUUGGACUCGUGUCCAUUAUCUAGAUCUUUGGAUCUCUUUUGACUCAGCCACUUUCCAGAGUAAAGGGGAACAAGAUCUAUUAUUCAGGUCCUAGCACUGUCCCUAAUUAUUCCAUGCAGUGUGAGGCACGUUGCCAACAGAGUGGUCCAAUGCCUAGGAAACUUUUUUGAAUUGCUUUCCUGAGGGACAGAAGCCAAACCAUUAUGUACUACUUUCCUAGGAAAAGAUCAAAGCCAGAGUGAGUAGAUUAAACUUGUGAUAAGAGUGGCAUCUGAUGGCUCUGAAACCCCUCAGGAUGCUGGGGACGGACAUACUGAUUUUCCAGGUAUCACAUAUAGAUGUUUCCCCAUUGUUAAUAGAAAGUCUUUGAAGAUUUUGAAAUUCCACUAGGAAUCAAAUUCCACUAGGAACUGCAAUUCUCAGUACUCAAAUGCCUACGUUUCCUGUGUGGAGCGAGCUUGCCGAUUUGAACAGUUUGGGUACUUUUGGCCAACUACCUCACAUUUUGU